AUUCUGAUCAUUUUCCAAGGCGUCCAGUGUGAUGUGGAGCUGGUGGAGUCUGGGGGAGAUGUGAUACAGCCUGGGGGAUCUCUGAGUCUCUCCUGCAAAGGUUCUGGAUUUACUUUCAGCAGCUACUACAUGCAUUGGGUCUGCCAGGCUACCGGGAUGGGAUUGGAAAGGGUUGCAAGAAUUAGCACUGGUGGAAGUACAUACUAUGCAGACUCUGGGAAAGACCGAUUCACCAUCUCUAGAGAUAAUGGCAACAGAAUGUUAUAUCUACAGAUGACUUCCCUUCAGACUGAGGACACAGCUGUGUAUUACUGUACAAGACACACAGUGAGGAAAAGGAAUCAAUUAGUCACUGCCUCCUCAGCAAUGUUGACUCCAUUGGCACCAGAACAGAAACGUUUUGAAAAGAUUUUCAAUGCAGUCAUCAUUGUCGACAUCAUGGAGAGUGAAGAUUCAGCUCAUCUAAACUUAAUGAAAAGAACUGUGCUUGGUGUCUUGUCUAUCAAACUCUAUUUCUGA